UACGUAGGUGACAAGCGUUGUCCGGAUUUACUGGGCGUAAAGAGCGCGCAGGCGGUCGAUCAAGUCGAGUGUGAAAGCCCCCGGCUCAACUGGGGAGGGUCAUUCGAAACUGGUCGACUCGAAGGCAGGAGAGGGUAGUGGAAUUCCCGGUGUAGUGGUGAAAUGCGUAGAUAUCGGGAGGAACACCAGUGGCGAAGGCGGGUCUCUGGGCAACAACUAACGCUGAGGAGCGAAAGCGUGGGGAGCGAACAGGAUUAGAUA
rnacentral:rRNA from 1 species